AUUGAACGCUGGCGGCAUGCUUUACACAUGCAAGUCGAACGGGCUUAGGGGCUUGCUCCUAAGUUAGUGGCGAACGGGUGAGUAAUGCAUCGGAACGUACCGUGUAGUGGGGGAUAACCCGGCGAAAGUCGGAUUAAUACCGCAUACGAUCUAAGGAUGAAAGCAGGGGAUCGCAAGACCUUGCGCUAUACGAGCGGCCGAUGUCGGAUUAGCUAGUUGGUAGGGUAAAGGCCUACCAAGGCAACGAUCCGUAGCGGAUCUGAGAGGAUGAUCCGCCGCACUGGGACUGAGACACGGCCCAGACUCCUACGGGAGGCAGCAGUGGGGAAUUUUGGACAAUGGGCGAAAGCCUGAUCCAGCCAUGCCGCGUGAGUGAAGAAGGCCUUCGGGUUGUAAAGCUCUUUUGUCCGGGAGCAAAUCCUGUUCACUAAUACUGAGCGGGGCUGAGAGUACCGGAAGAAUAAGCACCGGCUAACUACGUGCCAGCAGCCGCGGUAACAC
rnacentral:rRNA from 1 species